AGGACGAACGCUGGCGGCGUGCUUAACACAUGCAAGUCGAGCGGAAAGGCCCUUCGGGGUACUCGAGCGGCGAACGGGUGAGUAACACGUGAGCAAUCUGCCCUUAGCUUCGGGAUAGCUCCGGGAAACCGGAAUUAAUACCGGAUAUGACCACGGCUGACAUCGGCCACGGUGGAAAGUUUUUCGGCUAGGGAUGAGCUCGCGGCCUAUCAGCUAGUUGGUGGAGUAACGGCCCACCAAGGCGACGACGGGUAGCCGGCCUGAGAGGGCGACCGGCCACACUGGGACUGAGACACGGCCCAGACUCCUACGGGAGGCAGCAGUGGGGAAUAUUGCGCAAUGGGCGAAAGCCUGACGCAGCGACGCCGCGUGGGGGAUGAAGGCCUUCGGGUUGUAAACCCCUUUCAGCAGGGACGAAGCGAAAGUGACGGUACCUGCAGAAGAAGCGCCGGCUAACUACGUGCCAGCAGCCGC
rnacentral:rRNA from 1 species